UACAGAGGUCCCAAGCGUUGUUCGGAUUCACUGGGCGUAAAGGGUGCGCAGGUGGGUUUGCAAGUUCGAUGUGAAAGCCCCGGGCUUAACCCGGGAAUGGCAUUGGAUACUGCAGAUCUGGAGGAUCGGAGGGGGGACUGGAAUUCUUGGUGUAGCAGUGAAAUGCGUAGAUAUCAGGAGGAAUACCGAUGGCGAAGGCAGGUCUCUGGGCUGACACUGACGCUCAUGCACGAAAGCGUGGGGAGCAAACAGG
rnacentral:rRNA from 1 species